GGCGUUGCAGCAUGUGUCGCUGUCCUGGUGUUUGGUGGCAUAAUCAUGAGGAAAAUUCAUCUCAGGAGAACACAGCUACAAGUGUCUGGAACCGUCAACGAGGAGGAGCAACAGGACAUUCCCAGCACGUUCACAGGGAGAGACAAUGGGCUUUACUCAACUCUCCAGCUGCCGCAUCCUAACCCCUGACCCUCAGGCACCGUUGACCAAUGACCAGAUGACAUUAGACACCUUCUAGUAACAGCUAGCUAUAAAGCUCUAUGGUAGAGUGGUAGAUAUACAUUUACUGUGAAUAUUUUGAUUACUGAAAAUGCAAAAACAAAUUCCUGUCUGAAUUGCCAAAUAUCAGCCUCUCCUUUACUGUAGAUCUUCUGUGGUUGUUGUAAAUAUCAACACUGUAUGCAGGCUGCACAUCUGUUAUGGAAAUACAAUUGUAUUAUACAUGUCUCAAAAUUAUAGCUGUUCUGUUGUUGUUUGCGGAUAGAACAAAGCUUUUUCUGUGGAGAUCAUAUGAUCCCAAAAUCAUAAACGUUUCCACCAGGUGUUAGUAUACUGUUGUAAAAGACUAAUAUUUUCCUGUCAUAAACAUUAAUGGAGAAAUCAGUAAAAGUCCCAACUGCCACUGUAUUCAAACUGUAUCUAGAAAACAGAAUAUGAAUGUAGACCUGUUUUAUAGUUUUCUGUUUACUAUAUAUGCCUGGCUACAUGAAUUAGGCUACAUGUUUAAGUGCAUAUGUUAAUAAAUAAAUAAAUUAACUGUUUUUCCAACAAACAAAAAAAGUAAAAAAACAUGUACGCAUGCUGUAGCCUAUGUACUUCUGUGGAUGCAAGGCCAGUCUAUUAAAAGCAUGAGAUAACUGUUUCAUGGUGGCAGCUCCUUUGUUUCCUUCCUGCACAUCACAGUUAGCCUGACUACCCAUCCACAUCACAGUUAGCCUGACUACCCAUCCACAUCACAGUUAGCCUGACUACCCAUCCACAU